CGCAGCUUGGGCGAUGGCGUGCGGGGCUCGCGCACGUUUUAGGCGCGGGGGCGAUCGGCCUUGCUUUGUCUCCGUUCGAAACCGGGUGGUGCGUC
rnacentral:tRNA from 1 species